AGUGGCGAACGGGUGAGUAACGCGCGAGUAUCUGCCCUUAGGAGGGGGACAACAGUUGGAAACGACUGCUAAUACCCCAUAUGUCUACGGAUGAAAGAUUUUAUCGCCUGAGGAUGAACUCGCGUCUGAUUAGCUAGUUGGUGAGGUAAUGGCUCACCAAGGCGACGAUCAGUAGCUGGUCUGAGAGGAUGAUCAGCCACACUGGGACUGAGACACGGCCCAGACUCCUACGGGAGGCAGCAGUGGGGAAUUUUCCGCAAUGGGGGCAACCCUGACGGAGCAAUACCGCGUGCGGGAGGACGGCCUGUGGGUUGUAAACCGCUUUUCUCAGGGAAGAAGACCUGACGGUACCUGAGGAAUCAGCAUCGGCUAACUCCGUGCCAGCAGCCGCGGCAAUACGGAGGAUGCAAGCGUUAUCCGGAAUUAUUGGGCGUAAAGCGUCCGUAGGUGGUUAAUCAAGUCUGCUGUUAAAGAGCGGAGCUUAACUCCGUUUAAGCGGUGGAAACUGGUUGACUAGAGAGUGGUAGGGGUAGAGGGAAUUCCCAGUGUAGCGGUGAAAUGCGUAGAUAUUGGGAAGAACACCGGUGGCGAAAGCGCUCUACUGGGCCACAUCUGACACUGAUGGACGAAAGCUAGGGGAGCGAAAGGGAUUAGAUACCCC
rnacentral:rRNA from 1 species